UCUCAUUUAGCUGGAAUGCUCACUCACAAAUCUCAUCUACUUUCUUUCUCCAGAUAAAUUCUUCCAUAAUGCUAUUUUCCAGUGUGGUUGAACUAGACUAACAUUUUGAGUGUAAAUGGAAUCCCUAAACUCUCUCUCGCUCCCCACAACACGAGCAGUGGUAAUUCCUACAGAAUAGCAAUGUUGAUGAACUGUACGCUACCACAAGAUGAAAAAAUUGUUACAGUGCGAGAAAAAAUGAUAUGCAAUGUUAUUUUUAAAAUUCACGUGGUGUGAUUGGGACAAUAUGAAGCCGGCCACAAGUGUAUCUGGUGUAGUUAAGCUAUCAGUGUUAAGAAAUCAGUCUACUCCUAUCCAGCAAAACAGCAGUUAA
rnacentral:lncRNA from 1 species